rnacentral:rRNA from 1 species
CCUACGGGAGGCAGCAGUGAGGAAUAUUGGUCAAUGGACGAGAGUCUGAACCAGCCAAGUAGCGUGAAGGAUGACUGCCCUAUGGGUUGUAAACUUCUUUUAUAAAGGAAUAAAACGAGGCACGUGUGCCUUUUUGCAAGUACUUUAUGAAUAAGGAUCGGCUAACUCCGUGCCAGCAGCCGCGGUAAUACGGAGGAUCCGAGCGUUAUCCGGAUUUAUUGGGUUUAAAGGGCGCGUAGAUGGGUUGUUAAGUCAGUUGUGAAAGUUUGCGGCUCAACCGUAAAAUUGCAAUUGAUACUGGCAGUCUAGAGUACAGUAGAGGUAAGCGGAAUUCGUGGUGUAGCGGUGAAAUGCUUAGAUAUCGCGAAGAACCCCGAUGGCGAAGGCAGCUUACUAAACUGUGACUGACAUUGAUGCUCGAAAGUGUGGGUAUCAAACGGGAUUAGAUACCCGGGUAGUC